CGUCAGGGAUCUGAUUCGGCGAGAUGAAAUGCACGUGCGAGUCGAUGGCACCGGCCGUGAGGAUGUGACCUUCUCCGGCGAUGAUUUCGGUCGACGCGCUGAUGACGAGGUCUGGCGUCACGCCGUCCAUGACGCCUGGAUUGCCUGCCUUGCCGAUCCCGCUGAUGCGGCCGUCGCGAAUCCCGACGUCGGCUUUGCGGAUGCCGGUCGCAUCCACGAUGACGACGUUCGUGAUGACGAGGUCGGGAGACCCGGUGGCGCGGCUGGCGGAGGUUGACUGGCCCAUGCCGUCGCGAAU
rnacentral:sRNA from 1 species